GCACAACAGAAAUGAGCUGCUAUUUAGA
rnacentral:piRNA from 1 species